UACGUAGGUCGCAAGCGUUGUCCGGAUUUACUGGGCGUAAAGAGCGCGCAGGCGGCUGGUCAAGUCCGAUGUGAAAUCUACCGGCUCAACUGGGAAACUGCAUCGGAAACUGAUCGGCUUGAAGAUGGGAGAGGGUAGUGGAAUUCCCGGUGUAGUGGUGAAAUGCUUAGAUAUCGUCAAGAACACCUAUAGCGAAGGCAGCUUACUAGGCUGUAACUGACGCUGAGGCACGAAAGUGUGGGGAUCAAACAGG
rnacentral:rRNA from 1 species